CGACGACGGUGUUCGGCCGUGGGCGGGAACGGACUGUCGGCGUUGCCAUGGAGACGGCAGGGCGGAAUUUAUCAGCCCCGCCCCUCGGUGGGCUGCCCCUGCGAACGGCGAAAAAUAGUGACCUUCAGUCCUGAAGAUUGGGUCUUUUCUAGACGAAGAAAGCAUCUCCCACUUUUGUCUGCAGAAGUUUCUCCUAAGCAUUUGAACUGCAUUCUGUCUGUACAGCUUUAGCUGCCUGAAGGAUUGCCCGUUCAGUUGCCUGAUGCUGGAACACUGUGAAAAAGGAAUAAAGAAAAGCACAUCAGUGCUGUCAAAAUUCAGAACUCUCCUGCAGCAGCAGAGUAUAACAACAUCUCAUUGAACUUCUUUCAUCCAACACUUUGUUACUUCAUGAUGCAUGUUCCUAGUUCCUGGGGAAGGAUAGCCCAGUGACCACUGAUCAUGGCUCUCAAUUUUUGUCCAGCAUUCUAGUUACCCUCCACAUUCAGA